rnacentral:misc_RNA from 1 species
CAGGAUCGCUGAAAAGCGUUUCUCUACACCAUUGUGAACCUACCUAUCGUCGUGCUUCGGCGGGCGAAAGCCCCAUUCGUGGUGUUUUCCUCUGGCCCUCUACGGGGUGCUCGCCGCAGUGCAAAAACUUUUCAGACCCUAUAAUAUCAUUGUGGAACUUCUGAUAGACACUAAAGAAACUAUAA